CUGUGACUGAACUAUUUAAUUAUUAUUAAUGAUGAUGAUCGUUGCUGUUCAAAUGCAACAGCACUUGGGACAUUAAGUUGUACUUGACUUUGGGGCUGCAGGCAGGCCUCCGAGCCCUGGCCGACAGUAUGGGCUAAUUUGGGGCAUGUGUGACUGGAAAUGGACUGAUUCAUCCCUACACCCAGCCCUGAUCACAGCUCCCCUUUUUGUUGGCAGUAGACACUAUUUAUUUCAGUGGGCUUUUAAAUAAAAGGUAAUGGUGUACAUCUAUAUGGGGCAGAAAUCAAAAUCUGUAUGAGGGCAAGGUUUUUAUUAGGUCACCCAGAAUGUUUUGUGAGGACACUUCAGCUGGGCUCAUAAAGAUAUUGCCCUAAUAUGGUUUUUAGGAACCUGCUUCACAAAUUAUCCUCUUUCUAUGCUCCUCCCGAUGGAAACAUGCAGACGGGGACAGAUAUACCCCUGCUUUCAGUCGUUUACAUACAGUCUUCUCUUGUACAGUUGUUCCUUGGAAGUCGAACAAAAUCUGUUCCAGGAGUCCGUCCGACUUGCAAAACAUUCGGAAAUCAAGGUGUGGCUUCCGAUUGGCUGCGGGAAGCUCCUGCAGCCAAUCGGAAGCCGCGCCGGACGUUCGGGUUCCAAAGAAUGUCAGCAAACCGGAACACUCAUUUUUGGGUUUGCGGUGUUUGGGAGCCAAAACGUUUGACUCGCAAGACAUUCGUCAACCAAGGUACGACUGUAUAUUAUUUACUACAAAGCUCGAUGACUAAGCUCUUUAGCAACGAAAUGUUGGAUUACCAGAACGAAGUGUGAGCACUGAACCACUGGUAUAUCACAAGUGGACUCUUUAUUUACUGUGUUUGCUAUUGUUUAAGAUAAAACCUAUUUGGGAAACAAACUACCUUUGCCAUUUUUAUGGACUUUAAGUGUUUGUUUACAGAUAGUUGCUUUGGUGAUAGUAUCUUGUGUUGAUUGACGUAUGAGUCAGGCAUGAGCUGCAUGGCCCAAGCGAAGAAGGGGAGCCAGUGGCAGUUUAGCCUGUCCUGUUUGCCCCCCCUUCUGGAGAGCCAAACUUCUGUCCUCCUAGUGUGAGAGAGGCUUGGCCUUCGAGGAUAAUGUCAGGCUACAUUCACACAUUACAUUUAAAGCACUGUGACACCCCUUUAAACAGUCAAGGCUUCCCCCAAAGAAUUCUGGGAGCUGUAGUUUGUACAGGGUGCUGAGAGUUGUUAGGAGGCCCCUAUUCCCCUCGGGAUUAACAGUCAAACUCUCACAGGAAACUCUGGGAAUUGUAGCUCUGUCAGGGGAACGAGUUUCGCCAAACAACUCUCAGCACCCUUAACAAACCACAGCUCCCAUAAACCUUCGAGGGAAGCUAUGACUCAUUUAAAGGGGUAUUAUUGUGCUCUAAAUAUAUGGUGUGAAUGUGGUUUGUUUCUAAUUCCCCCCCCCAUCUUAAAUUCAUUUCUACAUCUGUUUGCAAUUUUUCUUGAAGUCCAUACAAAAAUUCACCAAUAUUUUAGUGUGCAGUUCUUCAAAACACACGUUUGUACAAAUUUUUGCCUAAAAGAAAAAUGUCGCAAACCAUUUCUCCUAAUAUCAUGCAUUGACAUUCAUAUUUUAUGCUCAGUUUCCCCAGAUAUGUGUACUGUGGUGCAUGUUAUACACAUUGGGGAAAAUCAGAUUUGUGCAGAUUUGAAAGGAGAGCUGCAUUUUAAUCUGCAUAUUGUUUUUGGACGUGCAAAUAAGGUAGAGUUGUGUCAAAUGUGAAGCGAAGCGAAUUUCUCCCUCCGUUCUGAAGUUGUCUCCCGCAUUCCUAGCGCCUAGCAUGUAUUCCGUCUCUGAAUUACGUUGACUGAUUUUAACUGAACUCUGUAUUCUGUCAAUUUAUUGUGGCUUUUCCUCCCCUUUGCAUUUUUACGCAAGUGUCAACUUGUCUUGUGAUCAAUUAACAUCAGGUGGUAUGCCUACAGCUUUCCUUGUGGUACAAAAACAUUUAGACUUGGCUACCACAGAAAAAAAAUAACACACAAGCUACGUGUUUCCAAAGGUGCAGUCUGGUGGGACUUCAUUUUGUAUAUUUCCAAUUCAGGUGUGUGAAAUUCUUUAUCUGCUCUGUGCUGUAAAAUUUAGUUAUCUUAAAACGCUGUGAUAUAAUCAGUCUGACACUAUGAACCUGCUGUGCCCCCUUUUAUCUAGUUUUUUAGGGAUUUUUUUAAAAAAAGAAUCAUAUAACAUGUACAUUACAUAUAAAAAGCGCAAAAAACACACAAACCCAUAUGAACACAUAUAAUACAAAACCAUUAGGAAGCAAAACUACUAUAAGGGUACCAGCAACUAAUGCUAAUAAAAAAGGGAGGAAAAAAUGGAAGGGCACCAGAAGGAGACAAAGGGCCAAAGAAAACAAGGCAAUUCAUCAUGUGAGUGUUCAUACAGGUCAAAAAAGGCUCCCAUGUGGUUGUAAAAUCUCCUGGUGCAGCAGAGCCCUUAGUGACUUAGAGGGCGUGAUGCUCUGCUUCUUUUUGUGUUGCUUUUCUUGUAUGUUUUGUUCUUUCUCAAUGAACUCUAAAACUGCAAAAAAGGUGGGAAGCACCAUUUUCAAAUAAAAAAAAACCAAAAUGAGUUGAUGACACCAACUGCUCCAAAGCUUGCCCUCCUGACUCAAGAGUUGCCUGCCCACGUGUGACCCACAACCACAAGCUGUCCCCCCCCCCACACUUCCUCUUCAUUAAAGCAUGUCCAGGCAUGUCCUCUCGAGCCUCGCUCAGUUCUCCUCUGGUCUCACUGGGGAAAAGCGCACAAAUCCAUAAUAAACAGGGGAGCAGCUGUUUCCACGGCCGUGAAUCAGAAGCCCUCACAACUCUUUAGCCGACGGAGGCAGGAGCUGGGUCAGGGCUGUUGGGGGGUGGUGGGGUGCAACAAGAUGGUGCUACUGUGCGGUGGGAGGGAGAACUAGUCAGUGGUAGAACACCACUUUCAGUUGUGAUGCAGGAAGAGGUGCUGGGGCUCAGAUGAGUGCCCACCAUCUGCCAGGAAGAGGGACCCCGGAUCCUUAAUUCUAAGUCUUCACAGAGUGAAGGUGCUCAGAAGCAGGGCUAUAGUGAUCAGUUAUGAGGAGAUGCAGCUCGUCAUACCAGUCCUCAUAGCCACAUCCAAAGGGAAGUCCAAAAAUGCAGGCAGUUGGACAGAAUAACUAUCAUCUGUCUGUCUGUCUGUCUGUCUGUUUGUCUAUCUAUUGGUCCAGACAGCCUCAUCCUUCAUCUAAAGCUCCCCUACACCUUCAGAAGACCCAGAACUGCCUCCUAGAAUGCAUUUUUGUAAACACUGGUCAGAUAACUAUAUCGCGAAAUUCAGAUAAAUGCAAAUCGCAAAAGAUGGCUGUGUUUCGGUUCUCAUAAUGUUUCAGAAAGUACAAAUUUACUAGAUUCACCUUUAAAUGUUUGCUGCUGGGCCAGGUUCAAGGUGCUAGUCCUAACAUAUAAGACCCUAAGCAGCUUAAGACCAGGUUACUUGAGAGACCUCCUUAUCCUUUAUACACCCACUGCAUUGCUGUGCUCUGUGGAAAGGUUUCUCCUGACUCCUGCAAGUUCCUAAGAUCUCAGAAUCCCCCUUGGCAGUAAGUCAGAGAAGGGUUUUAGUGUGGCUGCCCAUGUGGAACAGUAUUCCAACUGAGAGAUGAACGAUGCCCACUUUCUAAUGUUGUACACUGCCCUGAGAUUUCUUGAUAAAGGGAGGUAUAUAAAUUGAAAAUAAUAAUAAUAAUAAUAAUAAUAAUAAUAAUAAUAAUAAUAUCAUCUUUACUUUCAGGAAACAGUUGAAGACAUUUCUGUUCCUACAUGCUUUCCUUGCAGGAUAAAUAGCAUGAGUGUCUACUUUGUAUGUUUUUCGUGUUGUUUUAAAUCUAUUUGCUGAUUUUGUGCUUUUCAGUGUUUUAAACUACCUUAUGCAUAAAUCACCUUGAGAUGGUUGUUUAGAAGAUGAUUAAUAAGUUGUAAUAAUAAUAAUAAUAAUAAUAAUAAUAAUAAUGUGAACUGAAUCAAAUUGCUCCCCUAUAUUUGCUCCCUUUCAGCAUUCUGCAUCUUGCUCCAUCGUUUGAGGCCUGGGCCAAGCAGUCACGAAGCCUCUACAUUUUCAUCACCCUGAGGAAGAAGAAAGAGUCAAAGACUACUCUGAAUUAGGACUCAGCAGGGAUGGAACUGUCACGCUCCUGCCGUUGCCUUUGCAUGUCCAUUCCCCCCACAAAUGUGUCCCCAGCGGGCAGAGAUUCAGCCGAAUCCAAUCGAUUAUCCGAAGAAAUUUGGAGCAACUUGUGAACACCUGCAACCGGC